GACGAACGCUGGCGGCGUGCUUAACACAUGCAAGUCGAACGGAAAGGCCCUGCUUUUGUGGGGUGCUCGAGUGGCGAACGGGUGAGUAACACGUUAGUAACCUGCCCUUGACUUUGUGAUAACUUCAGGAUACUGGGGCUAAUACCGGAUAGGAGCUCCUGCUUCAUGGUGGGGGUUGGAAAGUUUCGGCGGUUGGGGAUGGACUCGCGGCUUAUCAGCUUGUUGGUGGGGUAGUGGCUUACCAAGGCUUUGACGGGUAGCCGGCCUGAGAGGGUGACCGGCCACAUUGGGACUGAGAUACGGCCCAGACUCCUACGGGAGGCAGCAGUGGGGAAUAUUGCACAAUGGGCGGAAGCCUGAUGCAGCAACGCCGCGUGCGGGAUGACGGCCUCCGGGUUGUAAACCGCUUUCGCCUGUGACGAAGCGUGAGUGACGGUAAUGGGUAAAGAAGCACCGGCUAACUACGUG
rnacentral:rRNA from 1 species